rnacentral:rRNA from 1 species
AGCGAACGCUGGCGGCAGGCCUAACACAUGCAACUCGAACGAACCCUUCGGGGUUAGUGGCGGACGGGUGAGUAACACGUGGGAACGUGCCUUUAGGUUCGGAAUAACUCAGGGAAACUUGUGCUAAUACCGAAUGUGCCCUUCGGGGGAAAGAUUUAUCGCCUUUAGAGCGGCCCGCGUCUGAUUAGCUAGUUGGUUGAGGUAAUGGCUCACCAAGGCGACGAUCAGUAGCUGGUCUGAGAGGAUGAUCAGCCACAUUGGGACUGAGACACGGCCCAAACUCCUACGGGAGGCAGCAGUAGGGAAUCGUGCGCAAUGAGCGAAAGCCUGACGCAUCCAUGCCGCGUGAAUGAUGCGCUUCUUAGGAUUGUAGAAUUCUUCCAGCUGGGACCAUAUUCACGUUACCCGGACGAGAAGCCCCAGCUAACUUCGUG